AUUGAACGCUGGCGGCAGGCCUAACACAUGCAAGUCGAGCGGUAGAGAGAAGCUUGCUUCUCUUGAGAGCGGCGGACGGGUGAGUAAUACCUAGGAAUCUGCCUGAUAGUGGGGGAUAACGUUCGGAAACGGACGCUAAUACCGCAUACGUCCUACGGGAGAAAGCAGGGGACCUUCGGGCCUUGCGCUAUAAGAUGAGCCUAGGUCGGAUUAGCUAGUUGGUGAGGUAAUGGCUCACCAAGGCUACGAUCCGUAACUGGUCUGAGAGGAUGAUCAGUCACACUGGAACUGAGACACGGUCCAGACUCCUACGGGAGGCAGCAGUGGGGAAUAUUGGACAAUGGGCGAAAGCCUGAUCCAGCCAUGCCGCGUGUGUGAAGAAGGUCUUCGGAUUGUAAAGCACUUUAAGUUGGAGGAAGGGCAUUAACCUAAUACGUUAGUGUCUU
rnacentral:rRNA from 1 species